UGAAUUUAAAAUCUAACGACGUAGUUUCUUGAAAGAUAUACACUAGUGGGCUAGUAAUACAUUAUCACAUGAAUAUAACAAUAUUCUAUAAAAUGAAAAAUCUAACCAUUUUUUUAAAUUUUAAACAGGUAAUUAAUGAGUAUAAACUGUUAUAUAACACAAAAUAUAAUGGCCCACGGAGGGGCGGCGAGCUAGCCUGAGGACUAGCGCUUCAUUCUUUUUUUAAAAAGAAAUAUCUAGUCAACUUUAUCCGUUGUUACAGUGAUGUCAUUUUUACAAUAACAAAAGACUAGUUCUUUGGUGCAAUUUCUUGAACAAAGUUCAUCAAUAUUUUCACCAUUAAAGAAAUAGAAAAGAAUAAAAAUAAAGAAGCUGAUUUUGAAGAUCAUAUAAGCUGUGCUUCUGACACCGUUACCCAUUCAGGUAUGUAAAAAACAAUUUUUGCUUUUUUAAAGAACAGCUAUUCAGUCUAAACUACUGAAAUUUAAUUUUAAUUGAGAAUUUCCUUAUUUAUGGAUGACCAAAGAAUUAUAAAAAUAGUUGAUGGUGCAACUGUGCGCUAUCUCACCUCUGGCAUCCGGAAGGGAUACUCCAUAGUAAUGUUGUAUCGGGAUUGCCGGUUGCUUGUACAAAUAACUUGAAUCUCUUUCGGAUAGACAUUGUCAACGGAUAAUGAUCUGGGCAGAGUCAUUUCUAGGGCUGUUUUAUCGAUGUGGGUCAGAGUUUAAAUUUAUUUUAGACAAAUUCUGAUAAGGUGGGGCAAAACUUAAUGCUGAGUCUAGGCAAAUCGAAGUUGAUGGUGCAAACGUCUGCGAGGAUGUCGAGUCCAUAAGAGGAAGUGUAUGUGACACUCCAACUUAAGAUAACAAGUCUCACAUCGACAAAACGCUGAAGAGAUGUUUGUUAUAUAAGUAAGCCCUACUUUUUAGUAACACGUUUUAAAAUCGUACUGGCCUAGGUUCAGAGCGAAUAAUAUUCCUAGUGGGUUGGACCGAUACAAGUUCACGACCCGUAUUGUGACUCAUGGUACCAAGUUUCAAAAAUGGUCCCAAGAACCACGAGCCAGACCAUGACUCGUGGACUGAACUAUGAGUGUGACGUGACUCGUGAACUACUGCCGACAAAAUAAUGCAGAAUAGUUAUUAAGGACUAAUAAGUAUUUUCCUAUCUUUUAUAUCCUAUAUUAUGCCGUUUUAUGUCACAAAAAGUGUUUUAUCAAGUUAGUAGACCCCCCCUCUCAUUCUCACACUUCAAUACUUAGAAACGUAGAAAGAUUUCACUCAAGCAUCAAUCCCACGUUCUAGUUCAAAUUUCUCAAGCAUUCAUGCAUGUGAAAUUUCAAUAAGGGUUUUCUUUCACCCUUCUGUUCAAAAUUUCAGAUUUCAGUAUGAUUUACAUGGUUUUGUGACUUAGUUUUUAUAUUCAUAUUUUUGUAAAUUGUGAUGAUUCCUAGUUUUUAGUAUGUUAUUCAAGGUUAUCGUUCUUAUCAAAGAGAACUAUGUAUAGUUUUAAGGCCUUGAUUACAGUUUAAAAUCUUGAAAAUUGAUUUAGCAUAAUUUGAUAGAUUUCAUUCCGAUUUAGCAUAACUUGGCAUGUUUUGAAUACAUGAUCCCAAUAUUCAGUAAAUUUGCAUGGUUAGUUCCAGUAUCUUAGAACUUCAGUAAAAAAUAAUUUAAAUUAGUAUCGUGUUUUUUUUUAGACCACAGUUUAUAGAUCAUGAGAAAAUUGUAACAUAGUUUUGGGAGGACUAGCGGGCACAAAUUCUAUAUAACCCAAAUUCCAGAACUACAUUGCCACCAAAGUAUAAAAAUCUUUCGCCAGUUGAGAUUGACACCUUUUGCCUAAUAGGCUCACUUAUUGGAUCCACAUCAAACAGGUUUUGUACCAUCGACAAGAUAUAGGGCACCCUCCAAACUGGGUUUUAUGUUAGACUCCAUGUUGCUCAUAUAAUUUAUGUUGGUUGUACGGAACUGACGCAAGAAGCACAAGGGAAACACAAAAUAUAGACCAAAAUUAGUACACAAGUUCAAGAAAUUGAGGACCUCUUUGGUGACUAACCCUCGGAUUCAACAAUACAAUACAAUAACGAGAUGAACAAGGUGUUUAGAACAGUAAAACAGCCAACCCAAACUAAUAUUAGCAACAUAAUAUGAUCAACCAUUCGGCCAACAACAACAAACACAAAUCGAGAGUAGAGGACAAGAACAAACACAAUAAUAAUACAAGAAAGAAAAGGAUAGAUAGUGAGACCAAGAUUAUUAAAAUAUUAAGAACCAAGUGUAUUUCAACACCAACCCUUAAUGAAUGUAAUAAUCCAAACCACACUCUUACGGUGACGGCCAAGGUAAUCGACUCACCUCAAGAUCCACCGUUUUCAAGCAAAUAUCAAUACUAGCUUUUUCAAGCCCUACACUAAUGUGGCUUUUCCAAGCUGUAAUACCCCGUACUUCUACCUAGCUUAAAAUUGUCCCAAAAAUGUUAAAGUCUUGUUUCAAAGAUGAAUCCACUUUUAUACAUGUGGUAUUUUCAAGAUUUUCACUUUUUAUCAUGUGGGAAAUUGAAUAGGUUUUCCAUCGAUACCAAAUUUUCCCAAAUACGACUCCCGAGAAGAGAGUUAGAGCCAUCUUAGUAAGACAGUGUGCCACCUGAGCCAUCAACGCAUCGCGGAGCCAACCAAAAUAGCAAUCAUCAAAAUCUAGUGAGCCUCCACGAAUAUGGCGUGUCACACCAAGGCUUAAAUUCAGAGUUGUCAAAUUCCAGUGACAUAGCGCCACGUCGCGCCAGAGGUCCAGGUUGGGAAAUUUUUACAGAAUUAAAAUACGCGUCCAAGGAUUAAAAGGGUCAAUUUCUCACCUCUAUAUAUACCCAAUAACACGUGAUUCAACCAUAAUUCACCCAAAAUAUAUUGUUUCUCUCAAGUUUCUCUCAAGAACAAGCUAGGGUUUUCAAUUGGGGAUUCGAAUCCAACACUCAAAUUCAUGUAUCUCUUCGUCAAUCUUCGUAGAAUCAAGAAAUAAGGUAUGAACAGUAUUCAUUCAUGGAUUCCUUUCAUCCAUGAAGCCCAAGAAUCAAGUUUUAAAUCUUGUAUUGUGAAUAUUUUAUUGUGGGUUGGUUAUGUUCAUGUGAUUAUGGUUGUAUGAUUCCCAAGUUAGAAUCUUUAUGUGUUGUUCAUGAACCUAUGCUAGUAUGUGGUCUGAAACAUGUGAAAUUGAGUUGAAAUAUGGAUUUUUGUUGUAUUAAUUUAAUGGUCAUUCCUAGGCCCUAAGUCAUGCAUCCUAGGUGUUUGAUAAAAUGCCUAAGAGAGUAGAAAUUAUGCAUUAUAGCUUAAUUGUGCGCCAAGUGAUAAGUGUAUGCUUUACCCUAUGACUAAGAAUGACUUCCAUGAUAUUGUGUGCAUUAUGAUUCAUUGAGGAAUGUCCAUGGGAUUAGGUUGAUGAAAGUAUGACAUGCUUAUAUGCAAUUCCAUUCAUGUACAAGACUAUGAUAACCAUGUGCUUCAUGAAAUCUUCAAAUUAAUGUAUUAUGAAUUAUUGAUAUGGGUCAUGUGUUCAAGAAGUGUCAUGUCCUGUCAGUUUUAUGCUAUCAAGUCCUGGGGUACUUAUACCCGAUAAUUUAGCUAUGUGGCUAGAGCCAGUGUCAUGUUUUCACGAUACUUUCAGUCAAGCCAUGAUCCUUAGAAUUCAGUCAGUCUCAUGACUCAGGAAAACUUAGUAAAUUCAGUAUCAGUCUAGUCCUACUCAGUAAUAUCAGUGGCCUCAGUGGUCCCAGUAACAUCAGUACUCAGUAAUCUUGGUAACCUCAGUAUUCCCAGAAAUCUCAGUAACUUUAUUAAUCUCUGUCAGUCCUUAGAUCUCAGUAGCAUUUCGAUAGUCAACGAAACUCAGUGAAGUCAGUUUAGCUUCGCUAAACAAUAACAUUAGUAUCAGUUCAAUUUAGUUAAUCAUGUUCAGUGUCUAUUUAUUUGGGAGUAGGAUUCAGCACCGAAUGGCCCCAGGGAUGAAGACACAUACUGUCAGCCAGUAGAGGGUGUUAUCCUUAGUAGAAAUCCCUGCUUUCCAGAACUACGUAGCCAGCGUAGGUUGAGAUGUACUCCUACGAGUCUAGGGACUAUAUAUCUCCUUUGAGUUUUCCUUACAAGAGGGGUUGAUGGAAGAGCUCCCUGUCAGAGAGGGUUUACUCAUAGCUUGUCUUUACCUAUGGCAUGGUACUGACACCCUUCCCGCUGGAGUUAUAGAUAGAUUUGACCCCACCAGUUUAGUUUCAGGGCAUGUCAGUUAUAUGAUUACCUCCCACAGUAUUAGUUUCAGAUCCAGUUUCAGUAAUAGAACUCAGUUCAGUUCUACAAAAAUCCAGGACUGUCAGAUACGAUCAAAUUAGUACAGUGCGGAACCCAGCUAGUUCCAGCAGUAUCAGGACUGUCAGCUGCAGUCACUCAUGUUAUCAGUAUUCAGACUCAGUCAUCAUGUUAUCACAAACUCAGUUAAUAGUACAUUAAUUAUACGAAACCUAUGUUAUCAGUAUUCAGUUUCAGGACUGACAGAUACAGUCAAUCAGACCAGUUCUUCAUAAUCAGAACUGUCAGAAAUAAUCAUUCCUUUAUUAGUAAUAUGACAUUAGUUCCUCAGUAUUUAGUAACUCAGUUAUUCAGUAUCCCAGUAUCAGUACUCAGAUAUCAGUAAAUCCACGUUAUCAGAAUUCAUAAGUCAGCGUUAUCAUGAUCUCAGUUAUAGUUACAUAUUCAUGCAUGUAUUCUCAUGUUUAUGUUAUACAGUCAAUUAUUAUUGUUCAUGCAUAUGAACCCUUGCAUUUAGCCUACCUCACUUACAUAUCAGUACAUUCAACAUACUAACACAUUUGUGCUAUGGUGUUUUAUUCCAAAGGUUUAGAAGCACGAGCUCCCGAGCAUCUUUAGUAGAUCAGACGUUCAGCAACCAGACUAACAGUGAGUCCUCAUCAUUCGAGGAUAACAUGAUUAUUUUAUUACUUUAUUAUUUCAGUAGUUCAGAGUUAGUUGGGGACAUGUCCUAUCAACUCCACAGUUUUCAGACAGUUUAGAGGCUUUCAGACUACAACAUGUUUCAGACAGUUUAUCUCAGUUUUGGGUAUUUUCAUACCCCACUACAAACAUUGUAUUAUAUUCAGUAUUAGUUCAGUUUUGAACCUUAUGGCCUUAAAACUUAUAUUCCACAUAUUUAUAAUGUAUUAUUCAGUGCUCCGUUAUAGAUAUCAGUCAUGGGUUAACUUGUGGUCCUUUGGGGUCAUGAGCACCGUGUAGCUUUUUGGGUACUAAAUUUGGG
rnacentral:lncRNA from 1 species